GACGUAGGGGGCGAGCGUUGUCCGGAUUUACUGGGCGUAAAGAGCGCGCAGGCGGUCGUUCAAGUCGCGUGUGAAAGCCCCCGGCUCAACUGGGGAGGGUCACGCGAUACUGAUCGACUCGAAGGCAGGAGAGGGUAGUGGAAUUCCCGGUGUAGUGGUGAAAUGCGUAGAUAUCGGGAGGAACACCAGUGGCGAAGGCGACUACCUGGCCUGUUCUUGACGCUGAGGCGCGAAAGCUAGGGGAGCAAACGGG
rnacentral:rRNA from 1 species